rnacentral:rRNA from 1 species
GAUGAACGCUGGCGGCGUGCCUAAUACAUGCAAGUCGAGCGAACGGACGAGAAGCUUGCUUCUCUGAUGUUAGCGGCGGACGGGUGAGUAACACGUGGAUAACCUACCUAUAAGACUGGGAUAACUUCGGGAAACCGGAGCUAAUACCGGAUAAUAUUUUGAACCGCAUGGUUCAAAAGUGAAAGACGGUCUUGCUGUCUCUUAUAGAUGGAUCCGAGCUGCAUUAGCUAGUUGUUAAGGUAACGGCUUACCAAGGCAACGAUGCAUAGCCGACCUGAGAGGGGGAUCGGCCACACUGGAACUGAGACGCGGUCCAGACGCCUACGGGAGGCAGCAGUAGGGAAUCUUCCGCAAUGGGCGAGAGCCUGACGGAGCAACGCCGCGUGAGUGAUGAAGGUCUUCGGAUCGUAAAACUCUGUUAUUAGGGAAGAACAUAUGUGGAAGUAACUGUGCACAUCUUGACGGUACCUAAUCAGAAAGCCACGGCUAACUACGUG